UAACACGUGGACAAUCCUGCCCCCCGGCCCGGGAUAGCCCAGGGAAACCUGGAUUAAUACCGGAGUGAGACGGGACCCGCGAAGGCGGGACCCGGGAAAGGCGCUGCGGCGCCGCCGGGGGAUGAGUCUGCGUCCCAUUAGCUAGACGCGGGGUAAGGCCCACCGUGGCGACGAUGGGUAGCCGGCCUGAGAGGGUGGACGGCCACAUUGGAACUGAGACACGGUCCAGACUCCUACGGGAGGCAGCAGCUAAGAAUCUUCCGCAAUGGGCGAAAGCCUGACGGAGCGACGCCCGCGUGAACGAAGAAGGCCGUGAGGUUGUAAAGUUCUUUUUCGGGAGGGGGAACAACCGUGGCAGGGAAUGGCCGCGGGAUGACGUGAAUCCCGGAAUAAGCCCCGGCUAACUACGUGCCAGCCGCAGC
rnacentral:rRNA from 1 species